AAUGGAAUUGCUGGGUCAUAUGGUAACUCUAUAUUUAAUUUGGGAGGAACUUCCAAAACUGUUUUCCAAAGUGGCUGCACCAUUUUACAUUCCUACCAGCAGU
rnacentral:pre_miRNA from 1 species